ensembl:snRNA U6 U6 spliceosomal RNA
AUUUAUAUUUUUUAUUAUACUAAAAAAAUGGAACGAUAAAGAGAAGAUUAGCAUGGCCCCUGAUAUGCAAAUUCGUGAAGCAUUCUAUUUUUUU